AGAAUCAACGCUGGCGGCGCGCUUAACACAUGCAAGUCGAGCGAGAAAGGGGAGCAAUCCCUGAGUACAGCGGCGUACGGGUGAGUAACACGUGGAUGAUCUACCUUCUAGUGGGGGAUAACCCUGGGAAACCGGGGCUAAUACCGCAUAAGCCUGUAAAGGGAAAGCAGCAAUGCGCUGGAAGAGGAGUCCGCGGCCGAUUAGCUAGUUGGUGAGGUAAUGGCCCACCAAGGCGACGAUCGGUAGCCGGCCUGAGAGGGCACACGGCCACACUGGCACUGAAACACGGGCCAGACUCCUACGGGAGGCAGCAGUGGGGAAUCUUGCACAAUGGAGGCAACUCUGAUGCAGCGACGCCGCGUGAGCGAUGAAGCCCUUCGGGGUGUAAAGCUCUUUCGGCAGGAAUGAUAAUGACGGUACCUGAAGAAGAAGCUGCGGCUAACUACGUGCCAGCAGCCGCGGU
rnacentral:rRNA from 1 species